rnacentral:rRNA from 1 species
AUUGAACGCUGGCGGCAUGCCUUACACAUGCAAGUCGAACGGUAACAGGUCUUCGGAUGCUGACGAGUGGCGAACGGGUGAGUAAUACAUCGGAACGUGCCUAGUAGUGGGGGAUAACUACUCGAAAGAGUGGCUAAUACCGCAUGAGAUCUACGGAUGAAAGCAGGGGAUCGCAAGACCUUGUGCUACUAGAGCGGCCGAUGGGAGAUUAGGUAGUUGGUGGGAUAAAAGCUUACCAAGCCGACGAUCUGUAGCUGGUCUGAGAGGACGAUCAGCCACACUGGGACUGAGACACGGCCCAGACUCCUACGGGAGGCAGCAGUGGGGAAUUUUGGACAAUGGGCGAAAGCCUGAUCCAGCAAUGCCGCGUGCAGGAUGAAGGCCUUCGGGUUGUAAACUGCUUUUGUACGGAACGAAAAGCCCCGGGUUAAUACCCUGGGGUCAUGACGGUACCGUAAGAAUAAGCACCGGCUAACUUCGUGCCAGCAGCCGCCGUA